rnacentral:rRNA from 1 species
UACGUAGGCAGCGAGCGUUGUUCGGAGUUACUGGGCGUAAAGGGUGUGUAGGCGGUUCUUUAAGUUUGGUGUGAAAUCUCCCGGCUCAACCGGGAGGGUGCGUCGGAUACUGAGGGACUAGAGUGCGGGAGAGGUUACUGGAAUUCCCGGUGUAGCGGUGAAAUGCGCAGAUAUCGGGAGGAACACCAAUGGCGAAAGCAGGUAACUGGACCAUUACUGACACUCAGCUGCGAAAGCUAGGGGAGCAAACAGG